UGCAGCUGCUGCAGUGCCGGUACCUGCAAAAGAAGUGGCGGGGGGCCGGGGCGGCCGGGGGCCUGCGGCAGGCAGGUGCCUGCGGGCUGCGGGGGCUCUGCAUGGGGCACGGCCCCAGGCCACAACCCCAUCAGCUGCUGGGGCAGCAGCAUCCCUGCCAGCAGGGGAUGUCCCCAGCAGUGAGCAGGGGCAGCGGGGGGAGCCAUCGGUGGGUGCAGCCCCCCAGGCAGCAGCUGCAGCAGCGGUGAGUGCAGCCCCGCAGUUGGGGGCAGCCCCCCAGGUGGGAGCUGCUGUGCUGCCUGUCCCCAGACACCUGGUACCCCAGGCCAGACAGAGGCCUGAGGCACCAGGUGGGUGGCACUGGGGACAGGGAGGGGUUGGGGUGGUACCGGCAUCGGUCCGCGGAUGGUGGGCUGCAUCCAGGCGGGGUCCGGUGGCGGCACAGUGGCUUGA